GGGGAGGACCUCCACUUUUCUCAGCUGCCCUCCAAGUAUGUACUAAGUGCUCCCAAGGCCGUGCCGGCCACGAAUUACUGUUUCUGUCUUUCCCCUGCCUUCCAUUGGAGUAUAAACAGGAUUGUGCCCGCACGCUUCCAACUCUAACUUCAGGACUUCGUAUGGAGUAAUGUCUAUACAGAAGGCUGAUUAGGAGGAUUAUGUAUUAUAAGCCAUGCCUCAGUGCCCUACAUGGUCCAUGGAAUUGCCAGAUGCUCUGCUGCAGAGACUUGGCUUACUCAUCCUCUGUUGGUUGAUCCAGCUAUUUUGGUUACCUCAUCCUUUUCAUCUACUCUCUUGGCUCAAGCUGCCACACUAGUAGAGAUGGGCAUCUUCAAUGGGGACCUUGUUCCAAGCAUUACAUCAAGGUGGUGAGAAAACAUCGAACUCAACUAAAUAUGCAAGCCCAACUCUUCCCUUCUGUGCUGGUGAUCUCCAGUCCUUAGCUUGACUGAUUUGAAAUCAACCAAGAGGCAAGCUGGUGGGCACACCUGUGAGAGAUUUUUCUGGAGCAGCUUCAGUGAAAUAGAAGACCAGACCCUGGAUGUAGGCAGCCCCGUCUGGUGGAGGCCAGCCUUGAAGGAGGCCGGAGGGAAAACACCGCCCUUGACCUCAUUCCCUCCGUGUCUCACUAGCCCAGUGCUGCCAUUGCUGCCGCCGCCAUUGCUGCCGCAUUCCUUUGCUCCCAUCAGAGCCCAGCUGCUUCGAGCUUCCAAUGCAGACAACAAACACUGGUGCCCCAAGAAGUCUUUAGACCUCCCAUUCCAGAUUGGGACCACUGAGGCACUCAGCCUCUCAAGUUGGUUCUUAGUCUCCCCAGUCUAGAGGAAGCCAUUACUGGACUACUCAGACUGUAUUGAGGGGGGUCUCUGCAGGUGUCACAUAGGGAAGCAAAAUGCACAAAGAGAUACGAAUGAAAACCCAGUGCAGUUGACUUUGUCCGCCUGGAUCAGACUUUGGAGCGUCUCAUACCAAGCGGUUCAUUGUCAGUGUAUUUAAAACACAGUACAAUUUGGGAAAAGGUUUCCAGGCAACCAUCAGUCCAAUCUAUCCAAUUCCAGAUGUACAAUAAAACUUAGUGUGACGACAUAGAGACUCCUUUACAAAGUGCAUGUGACCACGAGGGUGGGUUCUAUAGCUAAAAGGUCUAGAAUCGAGUGUGGUCUCUGACCCAUAGCAUAGAGGUCAGUAGGCCAUAGAAUACAUGCGACAUCUCCACUAAGCAUGGCUAACAGUCCAGGGAGGGGAGAAUCUGGAAUAUUCAUUCUGGGGAAUUUGGAUGAAGUCUGUAGCAACCUCCAUUCUCAGCUUUCUGGAUGGAAUGUAGGCAUUUGAUUUUAUCUCCUCCAUUGAGGAGGCGUCCCUGUGUGAUUAACAUUCCUGGUUCUUCUAGCGCUUCUCUGUGAGUACGAGGAGCUCUGUACCCCGAUCACCAUGUCAUGUAAAACAAGCUAAUGUCUCCUUUUCAUAUAUACACAGUCUAUUGGUUUCAGCCCUGGAAGGAACCCUAACCCAUAAGGCCUCCACCCCAGUCGGUUUAAAACAGCUUCUCACACUGGGACUAGGGAGAAAACCAUCUCUAAUUUCUUGGGGCCUCUCUAACAUAGGGAGCAGUCAGAGUUCUCUGGUACUCUCAUGGAGUUUGUCGGGGGUCCUCUCUGGUGUUUCUGGCCCUACUCUUGGUGAGGAAUGCUGGGAAACGCGUUCCUUACCUCACACGAUUUGCCUUGCAUGAUUUUCCUUGCCAGUUCAAUAUGAACUGGCGAAAUGAAAAAUGAGAAAUUUCAGUGCAGUGAUGUCCAGUUGAGGUGUGACCUAGAUUCUGGUCACACACAGAGAAGCAUCUGAAAAUUGGGAACACAAGGCCACGUAACGGACUGUGCUCAAGAGGAUUGUAUUACCUGAGAGCCUCCUCUUAAAGCCUUCGGAUUCUACCACCUCUGCUGUGAACUCAUGGAUUCCAAUAUCUCCCGAGCAGCCAGGAGGUCAGGGAGCAGCUGUCUGAGGGAGCAGUCUCCCCUGGUAAACCCACAGAGUCUGCGGGCUGGGAUGAAAGGCAAGUGUCUUGGGAUGCUCGCAGACCUUUGCUGAAGUGUGUGGGAGGCUGGCCCUUGUCACCUCAGACCCUGCAGCUCUCACUCUUGGCUCUCUUGGGCCCAAACCUGGGGUUGCUGGCCAGGAAAUGAGGAAAUCGUGUUGGAAGGAAAGAAAUCCUAACAAUGAGUUGAACUUGGCAGGGUCAGGCUGACGAGCGCAGUGACGAAAAUAGAUUGAACCGUAAGAAAUGACCAAUGCUGAUGUUUCAUGCCCAGUUAAAAAACUGGGAAUUUGGGGGCUGUAGAGGUAGUUCAGUUGUUAAAGUGCUUCUGAGGACCUGAAUUCUGACCCAAACCCCACAUUUAUAAAAACCAUUCAGACAUGGUGAUACAUGCUUGUAAUUCAGCAGCCUGGGCUCACUGGCCAACAGAACCAGCCAAAUAAGUGAGUCCCAGGUCAAGUGAAAAACCUUGUCUCAAACACACCAGGUAGACACCACUUGAGGAUGAUGACUGAGAUUGACCUCUGCCUGCCCUCAUGCAUAUAUGUGUACACAUGCACUUAUUUACACAA